CACGUAGUUAGCCGUGGCUUAUUCAAGGGGUACCGUCUUCUGCUCUUCCCCCUUAAAAGAAGUUUACAACCCGAAAGCCUUCUUCCUUCACGCGGCGUUGCUGGGUCAUACUUGCGUCCAUUGCCCAAUAUUCCCCACUGCUGCCUCCCGUAGGAGUCUGGGCCGUAUCUCAGUCCCAAUGUGGCCGGCCAACCUCUCAGUCCGGCUACUGAUCGUCGCCUUGGUGGGCCGUUACCCCACCAACUAGCUAAUCAGACGCGAGGCCAUCUUUCGGCGAUAAAUCUUUGACAUCAGAGCCAUGCGACCCCAAUGUAUCAUGCGGUAUUAGCAGUCGUUUCCAAUGUUGUCCCCCUCGAAAGGCAGGUUCCCUCACGCGUUACUCACCAGUCCGCCACUAAGCAUUCCCUUCCGUUGUCCGAAAACUCCUUCAGGGGUGCUCCGUUCGACUUGCAUGUGUUAAGCACGCCGCCAGCGUUCGUCCUGAGCCAGGAUCGAAACUCU
rnacentral:rRNA from 1 species